CCACUGAGCUAUACUAUAUUACUGGAGGAAGUGCUCAGCCAAAAAAGUGUCCGCAAAAACAUGGCGGAUUUUCGCGCCAUAUGACGCCAUUUCCAUGACAACUGGUUCCUCCGGCUCAUGGAAUUACCGCUGACCAGGCUCAAUUCUGAGCCCGCUACAAUUUUCACCCCCCCCUGGUUUUAUCAAAAAAAAUUUUGCUUUUCGAGGUUUUUGCAGUAAAAUCUCGUUGUUUUUUUAUAUUUUUUCGACUUUUGACCAUUUGUUAAAAGAUUUAAAAGUCGUACACGCUAUUCUCACCCGCAAAAGACAACAAACCAAUAUGAAAAGCCCGAGAAAUUUAGGCAAAGGCGAUAUUUGAUGGCAGAGCUCACAGGUAAAUAUUUCACAUACGUUUGUUUUUAUUUUUAAUUUUUAAAAGAUAAUGGGAGUAAAUGAUAGAAUAUAAUCCAUUAGAUAACAGGCUCUUUGUAUAGUAUAACGUAUUAUUUUCCCCCAUGUGUUCAAAGUCUUGUCGUAAAAAAAUACAGAAACUUUGUUUUUAUAUUCAAAUUAAGUUUUUUUGUUGUUUUUUUCUUACUUUACAAGCUUUGUUAAAUAUUUGUUGGCUGGCCAUGGUUUUGUUAAACAAAUUUUG